rnacentral:misc_RNA from 1 species
GAUGAAGAACGUAGCGAAAUGCGAUAAGUAAUGUGAAUUGCAGAAUUCAGUGAAUCAUCGAAUCUUUGAACGCACAUUGCGCCCCUUGGUAUUCCGAGGGGCAUGCCUGUUCGAGCGUCAUUAUAACCCCUCAAGCUCAGCUUGGUGUUGGGGCCUGCUGCACUGGCAGCCCUUAAAAUCAGUGGCGGCGCCAUCUGGCUCUAAGCGUAGUAAUUCUUCUCGCUAUGGAGUCCUGGUGGAUGCUUGCCAUCAACCCCCAAUUUUUCUAUGGUUGACCUCGGAUCAGGUAGGGAUACCCGCUGAACUUAAGCAUAUCAAUAGCGGAGGA